CAGUCGCCACGGUAAAACGUAGGGUGCGAGCGUUAAUCGGAAUUACUGGGCGUAAAGCGUGCGCAGGCGGUUAUAUAAGACAGAUGUGAAAUCCCCGGGCUCAACCUGGGACCUGCAUUUGUGACUGUAUAGCUAGAGUAUGGCAGAGGGGGGUAGAAUUCCACGUGUAGCAGUGAAAUGCGUAGAGAUGUGGAGGAAUACCGAUGGCGAGGGCAGCCCCCUGGGCCAAUACUGACGCUCAUGCACGAAAGCGUGGGGAGCAAACAGGAUUAGAUACCCCCGUAGUCCCUGUCUCUUAUAC
rnacentral:rRNA from 1 species